UCCCAAUCCUAAGGGCUAGUUUGGCAGAGCUCCCAAAGCAGCUUCCAAGCUGAAUAGAGGAGAAGCUCUAUCAAACAAUUUCUUACUGAGAAGUGAUUCUUUGCUAAUUCUAUGAAGUGAUUCUCUGAAAUGAACUUAGAGGCUAGGAGCUGGAAAAAUACCUUUUCUUGGUUCACUUCACGUACAAGUCAAUUUAUGCAUAGAGCACUAGUACAAAAAUCUUUCUAGGCGUUUUAGAUUUUUAGAGGCAGGCAAAGCAACCACCUCCAAUCAAAGGUCACGGACACAAACCAUGGAGGCGGGCGCUUUGCCCACUAUGGUUAAUCAAUAUGAAAAAACAAAAAGAAAAGAAAAUCCCAUAGACAGGCCGUCGAGCCCAUCUAGAUCUGGUCACCCGCCACUAGAUCUGCCCGUCCACAUCCGCAUGCGCCCUCUCCCGCUGCAUCUGGUGAUCAUGGAGGAGGAGCAGACCACCACUGUUAUGAGCCCCUAGGAGGAGGAGCACGCACCGGAUCUGGCCUCCCUGACCGCGAGGAUUGGUGGAUCCGCCAUGCGCCAUGGUGAAAGCCCAAGUUUGGUUUUGGUAAUUAAUGACACCAAGUUGCUAAUGCCUUGUGUUUAAGUGAUUUGAGUUAGGUAUAGCAACACAUGUGAUGAAGGUGCAUGGUGGCAUGGAAAGGUGGCCACAUGAUCACAAAGGGAUGAAGCAUGAAGUGAAGAUCAUGGUGAUAGACGAGGAGCAAAGUUAUCAAGGAAAAGGUAUAAACAUAGGGUUUUACUUUGGC
rnacentral:lncRNA from 1 species